UACGUAGGGUGCAAGCGUUGUCCGGAAUUAUUGGGCGUAAAGAGCUCGUAGGCGGUUUGUUGCGUCGGCUGUGAAAUCCCGAGGCUCAACCUCGGGUCUGCAGUCGAUACGAGCAAACUAGAGUGUUGCAGGGGAGACUGGAAUUCCUGGUGUAGCGGUGAAAUGCGCAGAUAUCAGGAGGAACACCGGUGGCGAAGGCGGGUCUCUGGGCAACAACUGACGCUGAGGAGCGAAAGCGUGGGUAGCAAACAGG
rnacentral:rRNA from 1 species